rnacentral:tRNA from 1 species
UGGAGUAUAGUUUAAAAAAAAUGUUGGUUUGUCGGGCUAGAGAUAUAAUUAUUACUUCGG